rnacentral:rRNA from 1 species
GACAGCCUUCUGAAAGGAAGAUUAAUACAAGAUGGCAUCAUGAGUCCGCAUGUUCACAUGAUUAAAGGUAUUCCGGUAGACGAUGGGGAUGCGUUCCAUUAGAUAGUAGGCGGGGUAACGGCCCACCUAGUCUUCGAUGGAUAGGGGUUCUGAGAGGAAGGUCCCCCACAUUGGAACUGAGACACGGUCCAAACUCCUGCGGGAGGCAGCAGUGAGGAAUAUUGGUCAAUGGGCGAGAGCCUGAACCAGCCAAGUAGCGUGAAGGAUGACUGCCCUAUGGGUUGUAAACUUCUUUUAUGAAGGAAUAAAGUCGGGUAUGGAUACCCGUUUGCAUGUACUUUAUGAAUAAGGAUCGGCUAACUCCGUGCCAGCAGCCGCGGUAAUACGGAGGAUCCGAGCGUUAUCCGGAUUUAUUGGGUUUAAAGGGAGCGUAGAUGGAUGUUUAAGUCAGUUGUGAAAGUUUGCGGCUCAACCGUAAAAUUGCAGUUGAUACUGGAUAUCUUGAGUGCAGUUGAGGCAGGCGGAAUUCGUGGUGUAGCGGUGAAAUGCUUAGAUAUCACGAAGAACUCCGAUUGCGAAGGCAGCCUGCUAAGCUGCAACUGACAUUGAGGCUCGAAAGUGUGGGUAUCAAACAGGAUUAGAUACCCUGGUAGUCCACACGGUAAACGAUGAAUACUCGCUGUUUGCGAUAUACUGCAAGCGGCCAAGCGAAAGCGUUAAGUAUUCCACCUGGGGAGUAC